UACGUAGGGUCCGAGCGUUGUCCGGAAUUACUGGGCGUAAAGCGCACGUCGGCGGCUUUGUACGUUAGAGGUGAAAGCCCGGGGCUCAACUCCGGAACUGCCUUUAAGACUGCAUCGCUUGAAUCCAGGAGAGGUGAGUGGAAUUCCGAGUGUAGAGGUGAAAUUCGUAGAUAUUCGGAAGAACACCAGUGGCGAAGGCGGCUCACUGGACUGGUAUUGACGCUGAGGUGCGAAAGCUAGGGGAGCAAACGGG
rnacentral:rRNA from 1 species